rnacentral:rRNA from 1 species
AUACACCUCUCCGAGCACACCUGACCAAAGAAGAUCUCGUAGCGGCGUACGGGUUAGUAAUGUCUUGGGACUGCCCGAUAGAGGGGGAUAACUACUGGAAACGGUGGCUAAUACCGCAUACUCUCGGAUAACCCAUAUGGGAUUAGCUAUUAGGUGGGGUAAAGGCUCACCUAGUCGCCGAUCUCUAGCUGGUCUGAGAGGAUGUUCAUCAACACUGGGACGGAGAAACUGCCCAGACUCCUACGGAGGCAGCAGUGGGGAAUAUUGUACAAUGGUCGCAAGCCUGAUGCAGCCAUGCCGCUUUGAUGAAGAAGGCCUUAGGGUUGUAAAGGACUUUCAGCGGGGAGGCGUUACCCGCAGAAGAAGCACCGGCUAACUCCUGGCCAGCAGCCGCGGUAAUAC